rnacentral:rRNA from 1 species
UACGGAGGAUGCGAGCGUUAUCCGGAUUUAUUGGGUUUAAAGGGUGCGCAGGCGGCACGGCAAGCCGGCGGUCAAAUCGCGGGGCUCAACCCCGCCCAGCCGUCGGGACUGCCGGGCUAGAGUGGGCGAGAAGUGCGCGGAAUGCGUGGUGUAGCAGUGAAAUGCGUAGAUAUCGAGAGGAACACUCGUGGCGAAGGCGGGUUCCUGGACAUUAACUGACGCUGAGGCACGAAGGCCAGGGGAGCGAAAGGG